UCCACCUAGCCUGCACAUUAUGGGCAAUUUAGCAUAGCUAAUCCACCUAACCAGCACAUUUUUGGAGUGUGGGAGGAAAUAAGAGCAACACAGUCGCCCGAGACUGAAUUCAAGCCUAGAUCUCUGCGACUGCCCAGUGCUAACUGCCCAGCCACUGUGCCACUAAGAGUGACGGUGAGCUAUGGUGAAAAAUGGUAAAUUUUCAACUAACUGGCAAAGGACCAAUGACAAUCACUGCUUCGAUGCAAACGCAAGGGGCCUUCCUCUCCAUUUGGUGAGAUGCGCGAAUGUACAACUCCAACCCCAUAAGAAGGAGCGGGAGCAGCGGUGGAAGUGACGAGGACCAGAGGGGCAGCCGGGAGGGAAAGCAGUGAGUAUAAAUACUCACCCUUCGACGCCAACGGCCAUUUUGAGUGCGAGCAGCAGCGGAGGUAAGACGAACCCGGAAGACUGCAGCUAAGGUAAGGCAGUUUUUUUAAAAUUACUUACCGGUAGCGGGCAGCGGUGUUUUCUUCUUCACAGAAGGAGCGGGAGCAGCGGAGGAAGUGACGAGGACCAGAGGGGCAGCCAGGAAGGAAAGCAGUGAGUAUAAAUACUCACCCUUCGACGCCAACGGCCAUUUUGAGUGCGAGCAGCAGCGGAGGUAAGACGAACCCGGAAGACUGCAGCUAAGGUAAGGCAAUUUUUUAAAAAUUACUUACCGGUAGCGGGCAGCGGUGUUUUCUUCUUCACAGAAGGAGCGGGAGCAGCAGAGGAAGUGACGAGGACCAGAGGGGCAGCCGGGAAGGAAAGCAGUGACCAUAUACAUCAGCAAGGUGGCUAAACCCGAGACUCUACAACUGUCGUGUCUCCCACCCACCCUCUUCCUCUAACCUAGUUAAUAAGGUUUGUUUCCUUUGGAACACAACAUGUUGAGAAGGGACAUGAUGGUGGUGUAUAAAAUCAUAAGGGGCAUGGAUACAAUGGAUAAAAAACAGUGAUGAAGGGUCUAGGCCUGAAACAUCGAAUCUUCUGCUCCUCUGAUGCUGCUGUGUUCCUCCAGCUCCUCACUGUAUUGACUUUGACUCCAGCAUCUGCAGUUCUUGCUAUCUCUGAGUGUAUAGAAAGCAGCUGUUUCCUUUCGUCGAAGGGUCAGUCACAAAUCAGCAUAAUUUUAAGGUGAAAAGCAAGAGUUUAGAGGGUCGUUGAGGUAAACAUUUUUUCACUCAGACAGGCAAGAAACUUUACAACCUUUAGUAAAGUACUUGGAUGAGCAUGUGGAGUUUCAUAACAUUCUAAGCUAUAGGAUUAGUCCUGGAAAGUGGGACUACAAUGUAGAUUUAGUGCAUCUUUGACAGUACAGGCUAAAUAGGCCAAAGGGCCUCUUCUGCACUCUACAAUUCUAUAUUACCACAACAUCAUCACCUCCACCACAUUUACUCCAUAAUAACAAUGAAAACUCUUGGUUUCACAGUUAUUUUAAUGCAAAAUCUGGGCUGAUAAUUCUUGGUGUCAAAAUCAGUGAUCUGAUUCAGAUUGUUAAAUAUGCAAAACAUUUCAAUGUCAGAAGCUACAGUAUGGACAGAUAAGAUGCACUCAGCACUGUAGCAUUUUUGUAAAUAUCUUUUAUGUCCAACUUUGCAAUCUAUCAAACACUGUUUUAUGACAUAUCAUUUUUGAUGCUGUU